GACCAUCGUUAGGUUUGAUUAGGUUUAACACUAAUAUGUAUUCCAUUCUAUUAAACUAAAUGUUUAACUACUCGAAACUCUACCCCAUACACUUACAAUCAAAAUGGAUGCUUAAUCAUCAGAGGAUUCAGAACUAUAAAGUAGAUGCUUAGAAUCAAGAUGCUUGUUUAAUCAAGACUAUAUGCUAACAAGGUGAUUACGGUAGAUCGGAAUAAGAGUUGUGAUACGGCACAAAAAGGCUUAAAGAAGUGGCUUAUUUUAUCAAAUAAAUUAAAUUAA